UGGGGCGUCGACAAGCGGUAAGUCUCCAGGCUUUGGACCUGGCAUUCGGAGGUUCGAAUCCUCCCGCCCCAG
rfam:Deltaproteobacteria bacterium RIFCSPHIGHO2_02_FTLL_44_16 rifcsphigho2_02_scaffold_1846, whole genome shotgun sequence.